GUCAUAUUUGACAGUAAAUGGGGCGCAAAUGAGACUCCCAUUUAAUGAAAUAUCAUGAAUUUUGAUCCCUCCAUUUUAAACUCAAUCCUAAAAAUGAACACGGCGAUGACAACAUAUUAAAAUUAUAUUACGAACGCUUAAGCCGGCGCUACACGAUGCUACGAACACCCUCCAACGUUGGAGGCUUGACGGACUUUAGAGCUCCAAUGUCGAGCGUCCAACGUUCGCGUUGGAGCAUGUUCCUGCUGUUGUCGGUAUCUUUGACCGAGUCAAAGGAAUCGCUGCUUCACGAUUCGUUCGAAAUAGUUU